GUUUCAUGGAGUGUGACCUUUUCAAAUCUACUGUAACGGAUAUAAAACGUCAAUGCGUACAUGCACGGACGACAAACGAGAAUACCCUGGUUUUUCAAUCGAGAAAGGUACAUGGGCCAGAGAUAUCCAAUACCAAUUAAUGCAACUCAUACAAACCUCCAAUACAAAAAAAAAAAUUCAUUACCUAAAUAGUAAUCUUUGUCAGUACUCGUGCGAUGACGAAAAACAUAUGGUUAGGGAUUCUUCGAUGGUUAAAAUUUGGCAAGCACUCCAGGAUAUAUCCUCUCCAUUACAACAGAAAGAGAUUGAAGAUGACGCUACUCCACUUAUAAGAAAUAAUAGACGAUCUUAUAGUUACAAAUAUCCAAGAUCCUUUGGACGUUCCACCGUGAGACUUACAAAGAAAAAGUAAAUGAACUAUGAUAAAAUCAAAAACUCCAGAAAAAACAACUUCUAUAUCAUCCUAUAAAACAUUUAUUUAUCUAAUCUUCCAUUAUAAAUAAAAUAAUGUUUACUUCAAUUCAGUUUGUAAUAGCUCCUUUUCAAAAUCCCUCCUCCCUAAAAAACUAUACUCAGAAGAAAAAAGAAAAUGAACAAAAUAUCAAUAAAUCUAUACUAUAA
rnacentral:lncRNA from 1 species